CGCGUAGGCGGCUUGUUAAGUCAGUUGUGAAAUUCCAUAGCUCAACUAUGGAGCUGCAAUUGAAACUGACAGACUAGAGGUUAGGCGGAGAAAACGGAAUUCCACAUGUAGCGGUGAAAUGCGUAGAUAUGUGGAAGAACACCGGUGGCGAAGGCGGUUUUCUAGCUUAAUCCUGACGCUGAGGCGCGAAAGCGAGGGGAGCUAACAGGAUUAGAUACCCUGGUAGUCC
rnacentral:rRNA from 1 species